rnacentral:rRNA from 1 species
AGGGUUUGGAUCAUGGCUCAGAUUGAACGCUGGCGGAAUGCUUUACACAUGCAAGUCGAACGGCAGCAUAGAGAGCUUGCUCUCUGAUGGCGAGUGGCGAACGGGUGAGUAACAUAUCGGAACGUGCCUAGUAAUGGGGAACAACUAAUCGAAAGAUUAGCUAAUACCGCAUACGACCUACGGGUGAAAGCAGGGGAUCUUCGGACCUUGCGUUAUUAGAGCGGCCGAUAUCUGAUUAGGUAGUUGGUAGGGUAAAGGCCUACCAAGCCAACGAUCAGUAGCUGGUCUGAGAGGACGAUCAGCCACACUGGAACUGAGACACGGUCCAGACUCCUACGGGAGGCAGCAGUGGGGAAUUUUGGACAAUGGGGGCAACCCUGAUCCAGCCAUUCCGCGUGAGUGAAGAAGGCCUUCGGGUUGUAAAGCUCUUUCGCAAGAGAAGAAAUCUUAUUGUCUAAUAAA